rnacentral:rRNA from 1 species
UACGUAGGGUGCGAGCGUUAAUCGGAAUUACUGGGCGUAAAGCGUGCGCAGGCGGUUUGCUAAGACCGAUGUGAAAUCCCCGGGCUCAACCUGGGAACUGCAUUGGUGACUGGCAGGCUAGAGUAUGGCAGAGGGGGGUAGAAUUCCACGUGUAGCAGUGAAAUGCGUAGAGAUGUGGAGGAAUACCGAUGGCGAAGGCAGCCCCCUGGGCCAAUACUGACGCUCAUGCACGAAAGCGUG